rnacentral:rRNA from 1 species
UUUUUGAUGUUAAUUUAAAGUCUGGUCUGCCCACUGAUUAAUAAAUUAAAGGGCUGCAGUAUUUUGACUGUACAAAGGUAGCAUAAUCAUUAGUCUCUUAAUUGGUGACUUGUAUGAAAGAUUUGAUGAAAUAUAAACUGUCUCUUAUUAAUUUAUAGAACUUAAUUUUUUAGUAAAAAAGCUAAAAUGUAUUUAAAAGACGAGAAGACCCUAUAGAGUUUUAUAAUGAAUUUAAUUAUUAUUUUAUAUAAAAUUUUUAAUUAAAAUUAAAUUUAUUAUUUUAUUGGGGUGAUAGAAAAAUUAAAAUAACUUUUUUUAAAUAUAAACCAUUUAUAAAUGAAUAUAUGAUCCGUUAAUAACGAUUAUAAGAAUAAAUUACCUUAGGGAUAACAGCGUAAUUUUUUUUUUUAGUUCGUAUAAAAAAAAAAGUUUGCGACCUCGAUGUUGGAUUAAGAUAAAAUUUAAAUGCAAAAGUUUAAAAUUUUGAUCUGUUCGAUCAUUAAAAUCUUAC